GGUUAAGCGACUAAGCGUACACGGUGGAUGCCCUGGCAGUCAGAGGCGAUGAAGGACGUGCUAAUCUGCGAUAAGCGUCGGUAAGGUGAUAUGAACCGUUAUAACCGGCGAUUUCCGAAUGGGGAAACCCAGUGUGUUUCGACACACUAUCAUUAACUGAAUCCAUAGGUUAAUGAGGCGAACCGGGGGAACUGAAACAUCUAAGUACCCCGAGGAAAAGAAAUCAACCGAGAUUCCCCCAGUAGCGGCGAGCGAACGGGGAGCAGCCCAGAGCCUGAAUCAGUGUGUGUGUUAGUGGAAGCGUCUGGAAAGGCGCGCGAUACAGGGUGACAGCCCCGUACACAAAAAUGCACAUGCUGUGAGCUCGAUGAGUAGGGCGGGACACGUGGUAUCCUGUCUGAAUAUGGGGGGACCAUCCUCCAAGGCUAAAUACUCCUGACUGACCGAUAGUGAACCAGUACCGUGAGGGAAAGGCGAAAAGAACCCCGGCGAGGGGAGUGAAAAAGAACCUGAAACCGUGUACGUACAAGCAGUGGGAGCCUCUUUAUGGGGUGACUGCGUACCUUUUGUAUAAUGGGUCAGCGACUUAUAUUCUGUAGCAAGGUUAACCGAAUAGGGGAGCCGAAGGGAAACCGAGUCUUAACUGGGCGUUAAGUUGCAGGGUAUAGACCCGAAACCCGGUGAUCUAGCCAUGGGCAGGUUGAAGGUUGGGUAACACUAACUGGAGGACCGAACCGACUAAUGUUGAAAAAUUAGCGGAUGACUUGUGGCUGGGGGUGAAAGGCCAAUCAAACCGGGAGAUAGCUGGUUCUCCCCGAAAGCUAUUUAGGUAGCGCCUCGUGAAUUCAUCUCCGGGGGUAGAGCACUGUUUCGGCAAGGGGGUCAUCCCGACUUACCAACCCGAUGCAAACUGCGAAUACCGGAGAAUGUUAUCACGGGAGACACACGGCGGGUGCUAACGUCCGUCGUGAAGAGGGAAACAACCCAGACCGCCAGCUAAGGUCCCAAAGUCAUGGUUAAGUGGGAAACGAUGUGGGAAGGCCCAGACAGCCAGGAUGUUGGCUUAGAAGCAGCCAUCAUUUAAAGAAAGCGUAAUAGCUCACUGGUCGAGUCGGCCUGCGCGGAAGAUGUAACGGGGCUAAACCAUGCACCGAAGCUGCGGCAGCGACGCUUAUGCGUUGUUGGGUAGGGGAGCGUUCUGUAAGCCUGUGAAGGUGUGCUGUGAGGCAUGCUGGAGGUAUCAGAAGUGCGAAUGCUGACAUAAGUAACGAUAAAGCGGGUGAAAAGCCCGCUCGCCGGAAGACCAAGGGUUCCUGUCCAACGUUAAUCGGGGCAGGGUGAGUCGACCCCUAAGGCGAGGCCGAAAGGCGUAGUCGAUGGGAAACAGGUUAAUAUUCCUGUACUUGGUGUUACUGCGAAGGGGGGACGGAGAAGGCUAUGUUGGCCGGGCGACGGUUGUCCCGGUUUAAGCGUGUAGGCUGGUUUUCCAGGCAAAUCCGGAAAAUCAAGGCUGAGGCGUGAUGACGAGGCACUACGGUGCUGAAGCAACAAAUGCCCUGCUUCCAGGAAAAGCCUCUAAGCAUCAGGUAACAUCAAAUCGUACCCCAAACCGACACAGGUGGUCAGGUAGAGAAUACCAAGGCGCUUGAGAGAACUCGGGUGAAGGAACUAGGCAAAAUGGUGCCGUAACUUCGGGAGAAGGCACGCUGAUAUGUAGGUGAAGUCCCUCGCGGAUGGAGCUGAAAUCAGUCGAAGAUACCAGCUGGCUGCAACUGUUUAUUAAAAACACAGCACUGUGCAAACACGAAAGUGGACGUAUACGGUGUGACGCCUGCCCGGUGCCGGAAGGUUAAUUGAUGGGGUCAGCGCAAGCGAAGCUCUUGAUCGAAGCCCCGGUAAACGGCGGCCGUAACUAUAACGGUCCUAAGGUAGCGAAAUUCCUUGUCGGGUAAGUUCCGACCUGCACGAAUGGCGUAAUGAUGGCCAGGCUGUCUCCACCCGAGACUCAGUGAAAUUGAACUCGCUGUGAAGAUGCAGUGUACCCGCGGCAAGACGGAAAGACCCCGUGAACCUUUACUAUAGCUUGACACUGAACAUUGAGCCUUGAUGUGUAGGAUAGGUGGGAGGCUUUGAAGUGUGGACGCCAGUCUGCAUGGAGCCGACCUUGAAAUACCACCCUUUAAUGUUUGAUGUUCUAACGUGGACCCGUGAUCCGGGUUGCGGACAGUGUCUGGUGGGUAGUUUGACUGGGGCGGUCUCCUCCUAAAGAGUAACGGAGGAGCACGAAGGUUGGCUAAUCCUGGUCGGACAUCAGGAGGUUAGUGCAAUGGCAUAAGCCAGCUUGACUGCGAGCGUGACGGCGCGAGCAGGUGCGAAAGCAGGUCAUAGUGAUCCGGUGGUUCUGAAUGGAAGGGCCAUCGCUCAACGGAUAAAAGGUACUCCGGGGAUAACAGGCUGAUACCGCCCAAGAGUUCAUAUCGACGGCGGUGUUUGGCACCUCGAUGUCGGCUCAUCACAUCCUGGGGCUGAAGUAGGUCCCAAGGGUAUGGCUGUUCGCCAUUUAAAGUGGUACGCGAGCUGGGUUUAGAACGUCGUGAGACAGUUCGGUCCCUAUCUGCCGUGGGCGCUGGAGAACUGAGGGGGGCUGCUCCUAGUACGAGAGGACCGGAGUGGACGCAUCACUGGUGUUCGGGUUGUCAUGCCAAUGGCACUGCCCGGUAGCUAAAUGCGGAAGAGAUAAGUGCUGAAAGCAUCUAAGCACGAAACUUGCCCCGAGAUGAGUUCUCCCUGAC
rnacentral:rRNA from 1 species